rnacentral:tRNA from 1 species
GGCGGAGUGGCCAAACGGCUAAGGCAUUCGGCUGCAACCCGAAGAUUCCGGGUUCAAAUCCCGGCUCCGCCU